UAGGGAAUCUUCGGCAAUGGGGGGAACCCUGACCGAGCAACGCCGCGCGAGUGAAGAAGGUUUUCGGAUCGUAAAGCUCUGUUGUUAAGGAAGAACGAGUGUGAGAAUGGAAAGUUCAUACUGUGACGGUACUUAACCAGAAAGGGACGGCUAACUACGUGCCAGCAGCCGCGGUAAUACGUAGGUCCCGAGCGUUGUCCGGAUUUAUUGGGCGUAAAGCGAGCGCAGGCGGUUAGAUAAGUCUGAAGUUAAAGGCGGUGGCUCAACCAUUGUAGGCUUUGGAAACUGUUUAACUUGAGUGCAGAAGGGGAGAGUGGAAUUCCAUGUGUAGCGGUGAAAUGCGUAGAUAUAUGGAGGAACACCGGUGGCGAAAGCGGCUCUCUGGUCUGUAACUGACGCUGAGGCUCGAAAGCGUGGGGAGCGAACAGG
rnacentral:rRNA from 1 species